GUAGGUGGCGAGCGUUGUCCGGAUUUACUGGGCGUAAAGCGCGCGCAGGCGGCCGGCCAAGUCCGAUGUGAAAUCUUCCGGCUUAACUGGAAAACGGCAUCGGAUACUGAUCGGCUGGAAGGUGGGAGAGGGUAGCGGAAUUCCCGGUGUAGUGGUGAAAUGCGUAGAUAUCGGGAGGAACACCAGUGGCGAAAGCGGCUACCUGGCCCACUCUUGACGCUGAGGCGCGAAAGCUAGGGGAGCGAACGGGAUUAGAUACCCCGGUAGUCCUAGCCGUAAACGAUGAACACUAGGCGUUGUCGGUAUCGACCCCGGCAGUGCCGAAGCUAACGCAUUAAGUGUUCCGCCUGGGGAGUACGGCCGCAAGGCUA
rnacentral:rRNA from 1 species